AGUGGAUGGGGAGCAACCUAGUUGUGCGUGUGUAAAGGUAGUGCCAAGAAAAGCGAUGAUCAUGUUGAAAAUCAAUUCCCGGUACCCGAAACCGACACAGGUGGGCAAGUAGAGAAUACUAAGGGGCGCGAGGUAACUCUCUCCAAGGAACUCGGCAAAAUGACCCCGUAACUUAGGGAGAAGGGGUGCCACCGAGAGGUGGUCGCAGUGAAGAGGCCCAGGCGACUGUUUAGCAAAAACAUAGGUCUCUGCAAACUCGAAAGAGGAGGUAUAGGGGCUGACGCCUGCCCAGUGCCGGAAGGUUAAAGAAGUUGGUCAGUUUUAGGAUGAAGCUAGCGACUGAAGCCCCGGUGAACGGCGGCCGUAACUAUAACGGUCCUAAGGUAGCGAAAUUCCUUGUCGGGUAAGUUCCGACCCGCACGAAAGGCGUAACGAUCUGGGCGCUGUCUCGGAGAGAGGCUCGGCGAAAUAGGAUUGUCUGUGAAGAUACGGACUACCUGCAUUUGGACAGAAAGACCCUAUGAAGCUUUACUAUAGCUUGGAAUUGUGUUCGGGCUUCCUGUGCGCAGGAUAGGUGGGAGGCGUAGAAGGUAUUCUUGUGGGGAUACUGGAGCCAACGGUGAGAUACCACUCUCAGGAGGCUAGAAUUCUAACUUAAUUAAGGACAGUUUCAGGUGGGUAGUUUGACUGGGGCGGUCGCCUCCAAAAAGGUAACGGAGGCGUACAAAGGUUCCCUCAGACUGGUUGGAAAUCAGUCGAAGAGUGCAAAGGCAGAAGGGAGCUUGACUGCGAGAAGUACAGUUCGAGCAGGGUGGAAACACGGUCUCUGAUCCGACGGUGCUGUGUGGAAGGGCCGUCGCUCAACGGAUAAAAGUUACUCUAAGGAUAACAGGCUGAUCUCCCCCAAGAGUUCACAUCGACGGGGAGGUUUGGCACCUCGAUGUCGGCUCAUCGCAACCUGGGGCGGAAGUACGUCCCAAGGGUUGGGCUGUUCGCCCAUUAAAGCGGUACGUGAGCUGGGUUCAGAACGUCGUGAGACAGUUCGGUCCAUAUCCGAUGUAGGCGUGAGAAUAUUGAGAGGAGCCUUCCUUAGUACGAGAGGACCGGGAAGGACGCACCGCUGGUGUACCUGUUAUGAUGCCAAUUGUAAACGCAGGGUAGCCAAGUGCGGAGAGGAUAACCGCUGAAAGCAUCUAAGUGGGAAGCCCACCUCAAGAUGAGUAUUCUGGUGUAAGGUCACGGGAAGACGACCCGUAAAUAGGCACGAGGUGGAAGUGCAGAGAUGUAUGAAGCCGAAGUGUACUAAUAGACCGUCGGCUUGAUC
rnacentral:rRNA from 1 species